rnacentral:lncRNA from 1 species
CUACUAUGUACCAUGUGACGUCGUUUUGGCUGUUUAGGGCAAUUUGUUUGAGUUUCCAGAGCAUUCUCUCUCAUUCUCAACUAUUCCAAACCCAUCACCGCCGUCCUCUCAUUUUCAUCACCUUUGCUUUCUUCGCCGUCGUCACAUCGCAUCCAUCCAUGUCCGUCGAUCUCUUACUAAAAUUCAUCACCUCUGUUUUCUUUUGUUCGUUUCUCACUAUGUUUUCUAACCUUUUUUCGUUUUUUUAUCAUGGUAUGUGGAAGAAGAAGGAACAUUAGCUGCUUAUUAUUAACCUUUUUCAAUUAAAGGUAAUGUUUUGAUUUAUCUUUUUCAUCUUCUUCACACUCACUAUAUUUCAGUCUUACUCUGUAUAGAAGAACAAGAAGAUCAAGUUUUUAUAUUUGUUAUUAUUCCAGUUUCCUAUGCUAGUUAGGUUUUUUUUUUAUAGAAGAACAAGUUUUCUCUGUAUUUUAACAUUUUGAUUUAUCGAUUUUAAUGUUCAGAUCUACAUGGUAAAUAAUAACCUUCAGAUCCAGACAUUUCCGACAGAUCUACAUGGUAAAUAAUAUCCAGAUCUUACAAUCUUUCCCUUUUACUGAUUUAUAGUUUUUCUCUUAUUUAUUGAUUAUUGAUCCAGGAUUCUCUUUUGUAGGUUUGGUGAAAACAAUAGUUGCUUUCUACUUGUGAAGGUAAUGUUUUUGGUUCCAUUGUUAGGUAAGUAAAGAAAGAGAAAGCCAGGAAAAGAGAAACCUGGGAAGAGUUUAAUUGACUGGAAAUAGAAAAUCUAAAAUCUCUUUGUUUUUUUUUUUUGCAUUUUCCAGAUCUAUGGUAAAACUUUUUUUUUUUUAACAAAGAUCUAUGGUAAAACUUGAAGGUAAUCCCUUUAAUGUUGUUUAGUGUUGUUUGUGUUUUAUGAGCUUUUUAGUUGAUUUAGUUUUAUGUUUUACUUUGUUUGUUUUUUUCUAACUUCAUAAAAUAUUGAUGUUUAUUGAAUGCAGGACAAGAAGCUUCAUGAUCAGAGGAUUAAAAAAAAAAGACCUUCAUAAAUUAUGUUGAUCAUGAUCAAUUUGUAAUAUUUUAUGUAAUGUAAUAUUUUAUUUUUACGUUAAUAUCAUUUGUGGAUGUGUUGUGGUUAUCUUUUUAAAUUUAUGUGAUGUAAAUGUAAUAUUUAGUUUUUUUUUCAUACAUAGAAAUAUUUAAUUUUUUCGUUUAAA